AACGGUUCAUUAAUGUUUUUAUACACGUAGAUCAAGAUUUUAAUUUUUGAAAAAUGCGAAUCAUACAGAAUAUUAGAGAAAAGACUUACAAGAGAUCAUCUGCAUGGUGCAAAGCUGUAGUAUCGUAACCAUUGUUAAAAAAAAAGUUCAUAAUAUUUAUAAGAAAAUUUAAAUAUUUUUGAAUUAAUUAUAAUAAUUGGAACUCAUGAAAAUAAAUAUGAAUGUUACACAAAGAAAUAAUCUUAAAAUUUUAAUAACCUUUUUCAUAAAACAAAUUUGAAGAUAUUUUUAUCAUUUUAGAAAGAAAAAAAUUAUAAUAUAAGUUAAUAUUUAAAAAGAAAACUAAAAAUUAGUGUGAAUAAUCUCAACCAAUUAUAAUUUAUUUUAUUAAAAUUAUCUGGCAUAGAGAACCCUCCAAAAAUCUGCCAUCUUCACAGCUAGGUUCGUAAAAUUGGAUUUUAGGAAAGUUCUGUUUUUUUUUUUUUUUUUUUUGUCAACUUAGGAAAGUUCUGUUUAUUUUUUUUUUUUAAAUCAGAAGACGCCGCCAGCAUUUUAUUUCUACAAAACCGCGUAUUUGUAGAAAAGAAAGAAGUUCACGAAGUUUGACACUUCCCCGUGAAUAAAUUCAAUACACAAGUGUGCUUUUGUGUGAUUCAAUCUACUAUAUAUACAGUUGGGGUCUAUGGCAAUUGAGAGAAGAACAAACUGACAAUGAAGAAAACAACACAAACUUCUUUUUUUCUCCUACGUUUGCUGCUUCUUAUAUGCCUAGUCUUUCAGGUUUGUGUCACAGAGGCUAGAUUCCGCCAUCUAGGCGAGGAACGGAUUGGCAGUUUUCCCUCCCGUUCACGUAAAGGCAAAAUCGGGCGGAGAUAAUAAGCUACGGUGGCACGUAGAGGUGCUCCUAGGGGAAGUGAAGUUACGGGAAUAAUGAAACUGGCAUUGUCAAACAGGUCGCGGACCUCCCCGUGUUCAUUCCAAAUAAAUUGUUUUACGCUUUGCUAAGGAUUAUCGCUUAAUUGAGACUUUUUUUUUGUUCACUUGAGGCAUUUUCUAUUCUCUUAUAAAAAUCAUGUGUACAUGGUAAAAAUAAAGUUUACAGUAAUGUUUUUCAUCAAAACAA